rnacentral:lncRNA from 1 species
GGUGUUGGUGGUGGUGUUUUUGGAUGCUCGUAUGAUGGUGUUGGUGGUGGUGGUGAUGGUGUUUUUGGAUGUUCGUAUGAUGGUGUUGGUGGUGGUGUUUUAGGAUGCUCGUAUGAUGGUGUUGGUGGUGAUGCGGUUUUUGGAUGUUCGUAUGAUGGUGUUGGUGGUGGUGGUGAUGGGGUUUUUGGGUGUUCAUAUGACGGUGUUGGCGGUGGUGGUGAUUUAGGCUUGUAAGUAGGUGGCUCGUAAUACACCGGGGGUGGUGGAGAAUAAUAAACUGGUGGUGGUGGGGACGAUGGAGAUGGGUGGUAAUAUACGGGUGAGGGUGGAGGAGGUGAAUGAUGAGUUACAGGUGAAAUUUUGUGAGUAGGUGGUGGUGGACUUCUAUGUCGAUACGCUGGGGACUUUUUGUAAGGUGCUGGUGGAGGAAGAGGAGUUGAUUUAGGUGGUGGCGGAGAUCGCUUGUUAUGCGAACCCGAAGACUUCCAAGUAGGUGGUGGUGGUCCUCUUGGUUUUGGUGUUGGUGUUGGCUUUGGUUUCGUCGAAGGAGACGUAGCAUAUGGGCUAUAACACUUCGAUUUCUUACAAUCAUACGGUUUUGCAUCAUCCGAAGAGCAUUCUUUAGCAGAUCUUUGAUUCU